rnacentral:rRNA from 1 species
GUCUAUGGUCAUGCUACCCUGAACAAGCCCAAUCCCGUCUGAUCUUGGAAGAUAAGCAGGAUCGGGAGUGCUUAGUACUUGGAUGGGAGACCACCUAAGAAGACCAGGUGCUGUAGGCA